UACGGGGGGAGCAAGCGUUGUUCGGAUUUACUGGGCGUAAAGGGCGCGUAGGCGGUCAGCACAAGUCAGUUGUGAAAUCUCCGGGCUUAACUCGGAAAGGUCAACUGAUACUGUGCGACUAGAGUGCGGAAGGGGCAACUGGAAUUCUUGGUGUAGCGGUGAAAUGCGUAGAUAUCAAGAGGAACACCUGCGGCGAAGGCGGGUUGCUGGGCCGACACUGACGCUGAGGCACGAAAGCCAGGGGAGCGAACGGG
rnacentral:rRNA from 1 species